AACGUCAAAUAGUAAUCAUCGUACGGAUAGCUCCAAGAUUCCGAAACAUUGUUCUAUAAAAUGCCGAAGACUGAAGCAGUACGAAACCCGGUAAGUGCUCAUUAGUUUAUGUAUGAGGCUUUGCUCCCAGCCAGAAAGGGAAAGAACUCGUCGACCGUCAUGAUCCAAGGUAACUCCGGUCGCCUACGGUCAACUCUGUUUCCUCCCUUUCUCUGGUCGCUAGCGAAACCGAUGAUUACUCGCCGCCGGCGAUUACGCUUCCACACGCGUACACAGUAACACAGAUGAUAGAUCUGUAGGGUUAAAUGCAUCAAAUGGUCACUUAACUAUACAUAUAUAUAUAUAUAAUAAUAAUGUUCAUCAUCUUCCCUCUUUCACUUAUCGAUUUCUCUCGAUGAGGCUAUGACGAUAACGAUUUUUCGGUGGUUCUCACCGAUCAGAACUUCCGGAGACGGAGAAAGCGUAGAACCAAUAUGUUACCUGGCUGGGCAACAUUUUCACCCGAGCGCGGCUGUAAGCUAAAACCAUUACGGUUUAGGGUUUUCAGCCGUCAUACUCCGGUGUCUAAUGUGCAGCCAUGGCAGCUGGUAAUUUCCUCGCUCAUCUCUGUAUCCUAAUUUCUGAUUAAAGGCGAAUCUGAGCCUCUCUGUUUUCCCUUCUCCUUCUCUCUGUUGUCCAAUGCAUGAGCUCUAUGUUGAAAUUACUUUUGUUGUAAACAAGCAAUGAAUUUGAGGAAUAACCAUGUCUAGAUUUCGGAAUAUGCGACUACUAACAUGAUGUCUACUAUUAGCUUUAAAAUUGCAAUAACUCGCGAUCUGUACAGCUGAACAUUGAAAAUUGGGGAUUUAUAUGGAACGUCAGCUAGAAGUCAAGAGUUCUGAUGGGUCGUUCAGUAAGCUCAGCAACACGCCAGCUGCAGCUGUGAAGGAAAUACAUAUAUUGACAGCAGCCGAGAGACCAGAUGAAUCAGAGGAAGACGGAGGAGCGGCCGCUGGAGGAUUUUCAACUUUGGUCACUGCAGGGAGUGGUGGGUCGCCUUUAUUUUUUACAGAUAGAGAUGGUAUGAUUAGAACACUCUUUUUCAAAGGUUACUUCUAAUUUGUCUUCUCUCUGAGAAAUGGAAGAAGCUUUUGCAUUGAAUGCUUACUCAUAUAUUUGCUUGCAGUUCUCGGGUAUUCUGUUAUGGUUCCAUUGACUCCAAUUUGAUGGAAAUAAGUAGAGAUCUCAACUAUGGGGUCUGCAAAGUAGUCAAAUGCAAGUGUGAUAUAUUCAUUGUAAAGGGUGGAGACGAACACAGACAGGUUUUCACUUUGCAGUGACUGCACUGCAUCUGUGUAAUUGAGUGUGAAUCCUUCGUUAGUUGGAAUGAUUGAGUAUCUUGUCAAGGUGACUGCAUCCGCAUACUUCUUGAUUUCCUUUGCUGUAGCCUUGGGUAUAUCGCUUAUUUCUUCCUUGACCAUGAGAACCCUUUUGUAUCCGCCCACAUUCUUGAACUUAUCUAGCACUGAUGUGUCCUCUGAUUCUAUAAAAACUUUUUGAGUGGACUGCUUGUCGAAUGAGGCCUUACUUAGUGAUGUGCUGACAGUGUUAACAACGUCAAGACCUUUCUUUGAUGCUAGGUAUGCAACAUUCUGCAUGUGGUUGAUGGUGGGUUUGAGCUUUAAAAUCAAUUUGAUCGAAGGCCAUGGUAACAGCUAUCCGUGCGAUGCAUAUAACGACACAGCUGAAGCUGAAGGAGAAAAAUACUUACCUCUAAGCUGAUCAGAAUACCGGGAACAGAUUCCGACUUGGCAAACUCCAGAAAUUUGUCGAGCUUUACGAACUUGCCCUUGUUCACAACUG
rnacentral:lncRNA from 1 species